ACACAUGCAAGUCGAGGGGCAUCAGUUUGGUUUGCUUGCAAACCAAAGCUGGCGACCGGCGCACGGGUGAGUAACACGUAUCCAACCUACCUCAUACUCGGGGAUAGCCUUUCGAAAGAAAGAUUAAUAUCCGAUGGCAUAUAUUUCCCGCAUGGGUUUUAUAUUAAAGAAAUUCGGUAUGAGAUGGGGAUGCGUUCCAUUAGUUUGUUGGGGGGGUAACGGCCCACCAAGACUACGAUGGAUAGGGGUUCUGAGAGGAAGGUCCCCCACAUUGGAACUGAGACACGGUCCAAACUCCUACGGGAGGCAGCAGUGAGGAAUAUUGGUCAAUGGACGCGAGUCUGAACCAGCCAAGUAGCGUGAAGGAUGACUGCCCUAUGGGUUGUAAACUUCUUUUAUAUGGGAAUAAAGUUGUCCACGUGUGGAUUUUUGUAUGUACCAUAUGAAUAAGGAUCGGCUAACUCCGUGCCAGCAGCCGCGGUAAUACGGAGGAUCCGAGCGUUAUCCGGAUUUAUUGGGUUUAAAGGGAGCGUAGGCGGAUUGUUAAGUCAGUUGUGAAAGUUUGCGGCUCAACCGUAAAAUUGCAGUUGAUACUGGCAGUCUUGAGUGCAGUAGAGGUGGGCGGAAUUCGUGGUGUAGCGGUGAAAUGCUUAGAUAUCACGAAGAACUCCGAUUGCGAAGGCAGCUCACUGGAGUGUAACUGACGCUGAUGCUCGAAAGUGUGGGUAUCAAACAGGAUUAGAUACCCUGGUAGUCCACACAGUAAACGAUGAAUACUCGCUGUUUGCGAUAUACAGUAAGCGGCCA
rnacentral:rRNA from 1 species